GUGCAGGCCUGUUCAGCGAGGCCGAGCCUGCAGUGGCUCUGGUCUUUCCUGUAGUGUCUGCUAGAGAGACCUGGGGCCGUUUGAGGCCCUGCUGUGUAUCUCCAUGGCAGGGUUAUAGGUAAACCCCAGACAGGU